rnacentral:rRNA from 1 species
UUACGGCCAUAUCAUGUUGAGAACUGGUUCUGAUACGAUCAGAAAUGUUAAGCAACUCCGAGCCUAGUCAGUACCAAAAUGGGUGACCACUUGGGAAUACCAGCUGCUGUAAG